rnacentral:pre_miRNA from 1 species
UUAAUCGGUCCUCCGUAUCCGCGGUCCUGGAUCCGCGGAUUGAACCAGCCACGUAGUAUGUCUAUAAUACGUGGUUGGUUGAAUCCGCAGAUGUGAAACCCGCGGAUACCGUCGGCCGACUGUAC